rnacentral:rRNA from 1 species
CUGGCGGCAUGCUUAACACAUGCAAGUCAUACGGGCACAGGCUCUUCGGGGUUUGUGCAAGUGGCGGACGGGUGAGUAACGCGUAAGAACUUGCCUCUUGGAGAGGGAUACCAGCUGGAAACGGCUGUUAAUACCUCAUAUGCUGAGGAGUGAAAGGGAGAUUCUCCCGCCAAGAGAUAGGCUUGCGUCUGAUUAGCUAGUUGGGGAGGUAAAAGCUUCCCAAGGCGAUGAUCAGUAGCUGGUCUGAGAGGACAAUCAGCCACACUGGGACUGAGACACGGCCCAGACUCCUACGGGAGGCAGCAGUGAGGAAUUUUCCGCAAUGGGCGAAAGCCUGACGGAGCAAUGCCGCGUGAAGGAUGAAGGCCUGUGGGUUGUAAACUUCUUUUCUUGGAGACGAAGUUCUGACGGUAUCCAAGGAAUAAGCAUCGGCUAACUCUGUGCCAGCAGCCGCGGUAAUACAGUGGAUGCAAGCGUUAUCCGGAUUUAUUGGGCGUAAAGCGUCCUGAGGUGGCCUGCCAAGUCUUCUGUAAAAUAGCAGGGCUUAACCCUGGAGAUGCGGUGGAAACUAGCAGGCUAGAGUAUGGUAGGGGCAGAGGGAAUUCCCGGUGUAGCGGUGAAAUGCAUAGAGAUCGGGAAGAACACCAGUGGCGAAAGCACUCUGCUGGGCCAAUACUGACACUGAAAGACGAAGCUAGGGGAGCGAAAGGGAUUAGAUACCCCUGUAGUCCUAGCCGUAAACGAUGGACA